AUUGAACGCUGGCGGCAUGCUUUACACAUGCAAGUCGAACGGUAACAGGUUAAGCUGACGAGUGGCGAACGGGUGAGUAAUGCAUCGGAACGUGCCCGAUCGUGGGGGAUAACGCAGCGAAAGCUGCGCUAAUACCGCAUGCGAUCUGAGGACGAAAGCGGGGGACCGUAAGGACUCGCGCGAUCGGUGCGGCCGAUGUCAGAUUAGGUAGUUGGUGGGGUAAAGGCUCACCAAGCCAACGAUCUGUAGCCGGUCUGUGAGGACGACCAGCCACACUGGGACUGAGACACGGCCCAGACUCCUACGGGAGGCAGCAGUGGGGAAUUUUGGACAAUGGGCGAAAGCCUGAUCCAGCAAUGCCGCGUGAAGGAAGAAGGCCUUCGGGCUGUAAACUGCUUUUGUACGGAGCGAAAAGGCUCUCUAUAAUACAGGGGGCUCAUGACGGUACCGUAAGAAUAAGCACCGGCUAACUACGUGCCAGCAGCCGCAGUAAAAC
rnacentral:rRNA from 1 species